rnacentral:rRNA from 1 species
UACGUAGGGUGCAAGCGUUGUCCGGAAUUAUUGGGCGUAAAGAGCUCGUAGGCGGUCUGUCACGUCGGCUGUGAAAACCCGGGGCUCAACCCCGGGCCUGCAGUCGAUACGGGCAGACUAGAGUGCGGUAGGGGAGACUGGAAUUCCUGGUGUAGCGGUGAAAUGCGCAGAUAUCAGGAGGAACACCGGUGGCGAAGGCGGGUCUCUGGGACGGUACUGACGCUGAGACGCGAAAGCGUGGGGAGCGAACAGG